rnacentral:rRNA from 1 species
CUACGGGGGGCUGCAGUGAGGAAUUUUGCGCAAUGGGGGAAACCCUGACGCAGCAACGCCGCGUGAGCGAAGAAGGCCCUCGGGUCGUAAAGCUCUGUCAAGUGGGAAAAAAAUCUUUUGAUCAAUAGUCAAAAGCCUUGAUGGUACCACUGGAGGAAGCACCGGCUAACUCCGUGCCAGCAGCCGCGGUGAAUACGGGAGGGUGCAAGCGUUUUUCGGAUUUACUGGGCGUAAAGAGCGUGUAGGCGGUUUAGCAAGUCAGAUGUGAAAGCCCUGGGCUCAACCCGGGAAGUGCAUUUGAAACGGCUUCACUAGAGUAUGGGAGAGGAGAUUGGAAUUCCUGGUGUAGAGGUGAGAUUCGUAGAUAUCAGGAGGAACACCCGUGGCGAAGGCGAUUCUCUGGACCAAUACUGACGCUGAGACGCGAAAGCGUGGGGAGCAAACAGGAUUAGAUACCCCCGUAGUC